AUUACAGGCAUGAGCCACCAUGCCCAGCCAGAACAUCCUAUUUCUAGGGUGUUCCAGGGUGAAUUACCAGUCAGAGUGGUUCAUCCACCUGGAUGUCCCAAAGUCACCGCAUGGACGAUAGUGAGCCUGGAACUUUGCUGCCCCUCCAGCCUCCAACCACCUCAACAAGAAGCUGAAAUUCAUUCCUGUCCCCCGUGCCCCCUUAACCCUCAUCUCGCUGCUGUCAGCUGCAUGUCUUGACACCCCGCCCUGUGCUGGAGUGCCGGCUCCGUUCCACUCAUACUGCCUCUGUUUCCCAGUGACUUUUUUUUUUCCAUUCUCCCUCAGUCAUCCCUUAGCAUGACCACAUGAGACCACUACAGAAGCAGAGAUCUGUUCAUUCCUCCCUCAGGCAGGCCCCCUGCUGUUCAUGAGGCCAUGGACGGGGCACUUCUGGUCACGUUCCCCGAGUUCCCACUUCUGCUAAACACAGCUCAGCCACCAUGUAUGACAAGUUGGGCAAUUCCAUAAAAG
rnacentral:lncRNA from 1 species